rnacentral:snRNA from 1 species
GGAUGUGAGGACUGUCUGGCUAUGAUUUUUAACACCUCAUUGAUAACAAGUUUGGCUGAGUUGAUCUGGCCAGGUAGGCAGGUGUUCUUCCCUCACCCUUUCAUGCAUGACCCACCAGAAACUGUGAGCUCAGGUGAAGAGGUCAACACUCCCUGCAGAAGAACCAGUCUUUAGUCAAAGGUAUACAAGGAGCUGCACUCCCCUGCUAGAAUCUUCAAACAAGUUCUUAAAAAACAAAUCACACACUUCUAAUCUAUAAUGACACACUAAACAUUCCCAUUCCAAAAAUAAGGAAUGG